rnacentral:rRNA from 1 species
CCUACGGGUGGCAGCAGUAGGGAAUCUUCGGCAAUGGGGGCAACCCUGACCGAGCAACGCCGCGUGAGUGAAGAAGGUUUUCGGAUCGUAAAGCUCUGUUGUAAGUCAAGAACGAGUGUGAGAGUGGAAAGUUCACACUGUGACGGUAGCUUACCAGAAAGGGACGGCUAACUACGUGCCAGCAGCCGCGGUAAUACGUAGGUCCCGAGCGUUGUCCGGAUUUAUUGGGCGUAAAGCGAGCGCAGGCGGUUUGAUAAGUCUGAAGUUAAAGGCUGUGGCUCAACCAUAGUUCGCUUUGGAAACUGUCAAACUUGAGUGCAGAAGGGGAGAGUGGAAUUCCAUGUGUAGCGGUGAAAUGCGUAGAUAGAUGGAGGAACACCGGUGGCGAAAGCGGCUCUCUGGUCUGUAACUGACGCUGAGGCUCGAAAGCGUGGGGAGCGAACAGGAUUAGAUACCCCAGUAGUC